GCCCCCUUCGUCUAGUUUGGCCUAGGACGUCAGGCUUUCCGCCUGGAAACGCUCGUUCAAAUCGAGCAGGGGGUAC
rnacentral:tRNA from 2 species